ensembl:lncRNA
GCCCAAACAAAAUCCUAAAUAAAUGUCCUGUCCAUUAAGUAACAUGUUUUCAGAGUCUAAAAUCAGACGAUAAUAAUAAACAAUUUAGAAAAUCCGAUUAUUUGUAGUCUGAUCGCUUUAAUCCUGUUUGGAUGUAAUCUUUUACUUCCCAGUAAUGACUGUUCUCUGAGAUGGUUUCUGCUUUCUGCGACCAUGUGGGCUUUGAGAACACUGACUGAAGUCAAAAUGGUUGACAAGCAGCCAAGUGAGCCAAGCCCUACAGAGCUGCCAUGACCUCAUUCUCUGUCUCUCUACUCCAUCAGCUCCACUCAUUGACCCCAAGUGGAGAGAGAGCUGCUCAGGGGAGCUGGCUCCCCCUGCUGAACAUUCUUAGACCAGCAGCCAUGUGAGACUUGGAGAUGAGAGUACUAAUGCAGUUGUUUCAGACAUUCUUAUACCCUUUAUACCCUUAUACCCUUUAAGGAGGGAAAAGAGCACAAAAAUGUGCUUUUCUAUUGUGAAGACAGUAAAAAAAACAACUUUAAGGGCUUAAAGUAAAAAGAGCUGCUUUUAUCCUUGUCAUUGUAGACUUUAAACCAGUUUAAGUGACUUGUGUUCUGUUUCGCAACCCAGUAUGUGGAGCUACACAACACACAAGCGAAAGCCAGCAGUGUGGACAGAGGGAAGUCAGACAUCUGUGCUUUCAUUUGGGUGAACUGACCCUUUAGUAAGACCAUAAUCUCAUAAAUGCUUCGUUCAGGCUGUAUCUUAAUUUAAAUACAAACACAAGUGCACUUCUUCAAAGAUAUAUUACUCAUUUUAAUUGCAAUCUAUCUCAGCUGAAACAGGACUGAGGCAAAUUCUCUCGGAAUGAAAAAAUAAAGAAAACAGUUUGCAUAAGAAAAUAUAUUUAGACAUUUAGAUCUUUUUGCAUAUUAGCUACAACCAAUUAAUUUAGCUCAACAUACAGAUGAUCCUCUGCUGGAAAAGAAAGGCAGGGUUUAAUCAGGAUAGCAAGCAAAUGAAGGCAUCUCGUUUGGCGAUCAGAGAGCCGUUACCGGAAAGUUUAAGAUGAUCCGUGUAGCUAGGUUUAAACCAAGUGACGUGAAGAUGACGAUAGUUUACAGGCCCAUCAGUGGCUACUGGUCUUACAUUAGCGUGCUAACAUGGUAAACACAUUAAGGCACUUCAGGUUCCACAAAGUCAAAAAUCGUUUUACAGGCUUCCCGCAGAAAUGCAGCUUUGUGUUCACUGGGCGACUCUUCUGUCUUUAGAGUCAAUCAGAUGUUUAGUGCAAGAAGUGUUUUUGCAGUGUGGUUGUCACUGUGUGAGGCUUUGCGUUUUUUUCAGUAGGCUGUAAAUCAGAGCUGCGGCCUGUAAAACCAGUUAUAGUACCUCAAUGUGUUGCACAUGCUAAAAGAGUUAUGAAUUCAGUUCAGUGUAAAACUCAUUGAGACCACAUCACAGCAAAAAAAUAGAUCUGUACAUGUUUUUGACACGAUAAACUGCAGAAAUAUACAAUCAAAGAGACAGAAAGAGAGGACUAUGGGGGGGAAAUUCUGUAAUCUCUAUGUAAUGGUGUUUGUAUUCAUGACAUGAUGGAGCUUUUAGGUGUUCAUUGUAAUCCACAAAAACUCUGACUUCCAUUAACAAAAUUAGAGAUGGUAGUCAGAGUCUGUAGUAAAGUUUAUACAGGACUUGCAGCCUAUACACUAGAGCAGAGGGACACCACAAAACAAGUGAUCUGUAAAAUUACUUAGCAGCAAACCAUGAGAGGAGAGCCGUACUUAAUUCAGGUUAGUGCUACUUUAGAAAUUCUUUAAAGUUUGGACUCAGAAAUUUAGUUUUUUUCCAUUUACAGAUAAAUUGGUCUGAUACAUCAAUAUAAUCAUUAAUAAUUUGUGACAUUUAAUAGGAUAUAACCUGUUUUGCAGUGCAUUUUACCACAACAAAAACUGGUGCGCUCGAUACAAAAGCACCAAAUACAGCUAGGAACAUUUUGGGGUUGAUGAUUGUCACAAAAUAUUCAAAAUACACAAAGUGAAGCUCAUCAGUUAUUCCUUGUGUGCUGGACCAUCACAGAAGGACACAAACCAGCUCCAACCAGAACAGAACAGAUAUGAGAACCUCAGUACCCAAAUGAGCAAGAAGUCAAGUAUCAGAAUUAAGGAAACUGAUAUCUCACAGCUCCUCAGCUUGCCUUUAUCAUAUUAAAGAGACUGAAUGGUACCCGUAAAACAUGCGUGUCGACUUGUUUAAGCGGUGACUUCAGUUUUCAGCACAGCAGAUGUAAAGUAGAAGUUGUAUUUAUCAUGUAUGUAUGUAUGUAUGAGUGAAUGAAUGAAUGAAUGAAUGAGGGGCGUCCAACUCCAGUCCUCGAGCUACUGUCCUGCAGCUUUUAGAUGCAUCCUUGUUCAAACACACCUGAAUCAAAUGAAUGGCUCGUUACCGGCCCUUUGCCAAACUUGAUGGCAUGCUGAAGAGGUAAUCCAACCAUUUGAUUCAGCUGUGUUGGAGUAGGAACGCAUCUAAAAGCUGCAGGAAAGUAGCUCUCGAGGACUGGAGUUGGACAACCCUGAUUUAAAUAAAGCUGCCAGUCGAGGCGUCACCAUCACUUUUGCCUCACGUCUUUCUAUUCAGGUUGUAGCCAGUUUGUGCUGUUCUGUAAAGGAAGAACUACACAUUGUUUUACAAAGAUCUUGUAAUAUUACUUCACUGUUGUUUAUCAGUUACAAACAAUCAUUAACUGUAUUUUAUACCCCAUCAUCAGCAUCAGUAUACUACAAUAUAAAUCAACGACAACAUAAGCAGGUUGGUAGACAAAUCACGGAUUGGUGGUUGGACCUUCUCUGUGGUUUCAUCAUUUUGGGUCAGAUUAUGUUGAAAAGCAACAAUCUGCAUAGGUUUUUUUUUUUUUUUCAUUAGAACUGUCACACAAAUUCAAAACAGAAAAACAAAUCUAAUCAAAACACUGUUUAAUUACUUUAAAAUCAUACAUUUCAAAUUCUGAAUUUUCUUUUGAGUUCUGCAAAUAUGCUUGCCCUUGACAUAAUUUAUUAACAUCCAACCCUGACAUUCGGUUAUUUGCAGAUAUUUUUUUAAGCUUAUGGCGCAGUAACAAAUACACAGCCUCAGUUUAAAGUCAGUAGUUUCUAUGUUCUAUUUCAUGUAAACCACAAGCUGCUGAUGAGCAAAGCAGGCAACAGUGCCUUCAGUACCUCUUUAACACCAUCUGAUACUGGUGCCAGAAAUAGUGUUGAGCCAGUUCUGUCUUCAGCACCACAAUUCAACAGGUUUUAGGACCGAUUAUGUAGUGUCCAGGAGUUGAGGCAAGUUCUAUUUGAAGAAAAUCAUGGCAGCCAGAAACUGUGGGCUGUACCUACCAAUCAUUCUUGACUUUCUUGUGGUAGCCCCUCCCACACCACUGAUGUCAGUGAUCCCAACUCUCGGCUGGGAAAUUUUGUGGUGCCGUUCUGAUGCCAGGUUUUUUGGCAUGGGCACCGGUCUUUUCUUGGUAGAAACACAUGGAACUGGCUAUAGACUGGGCACCUGCAUCGGUGGAACAGGGGUAUGAGUGCCACCCAGUGGACACAAAGCCUUCAGCAUGCGUUUAUGUAAGAAGAGUAGAAAAAAAGCAGAAACAGACUCGGGCAUAAAGUUUAUAUAAUAUUGUGCUUUAAAUCUUCUUGCACCAUCUUAACACCCCCCCUUCCCCCCCAAAAAUAAUUAAAAUAAAUCAUGCUUGAGUUCC